rnacentral:rRNA from 1 species
UACGGAGGAUCCUAGUGUUAUCCGGAUUUAUUGGGUUUAAAGGGAGCGUAGGCGGGAGGUCAAGUCAGCUGUGAAAUGUAUCUGCUUAACGGGUACACUGCAGUUGAAACUGGUUUUCUUGAGUGCGUAAGAGGCAGGCGGAAUUCGUUGUGUAGCGGUGAAAUGCUUAGAUAUGACGAGGAACUCCGAUUGCGCAGGCAGCUUACUAAACCAUAACUGACGCUCAGGCACGAAGGCGUGGGGAUCAAACAGGAUUAGAUACCCGGGUA